AUGUCCGACAAACUGCCCUACAAAGUCGCUGAUAUCAGCCUGGCUGCCUGGGGACCCAAGGCCCUGGAUAUCGCAGAGAAUGAGAUACCGGGCCUGAUGCGCCUGCCUCCAAGCCAUUGGAGGGUGCCCGCAUUGCUGUUUGCUUGCACGUGACUGUGGAGACUGCUGUUUUCAUAGAGACCCUCUUCGCCCUGGGUGCUGAGGUGCACUGGUCCAGCUGCAACAUCUUCUCUACCCAGGAUCAUGCAGCAGCUGCCAUCGCCAAGGCUGGUAUCCCAAUGUACACAUGGAAGGGUGAAACGGAUGAGUACCUGUGGUGCAUCGAACAGACACUGUACUUUAAGGAUGGGCCCCUCAACAUGAUUCUGGACGACGGUGGUGACCUCACCAACCUUAUCCACACCAUGUACCCACAGCUCCUGUCGGGCAUUGGAGGUAUCUCUGAGGAGACCACAACUGGGGUCCACAACCUAUACAAGAUGUUGACCAGUGGGAUCCUGAAGGUACCUGCAAUCAACGUCAAUGACUCUGUCCCCAAGAGCAAGUUUGACAACCUCUAUGGCUGUCGGGAGUCCCUCAUAGAUGGCAUCAAGCGGGUCACAGACGUGAUGAUUUCAGGCAAGGUAGCAGUGGUAGCGGGAUAGGACGACGUGGGCAAGGGCUGUGCCCAGACCCUGUGGGGUUUUAGAGCCCGCGUCAUCAUCACUGAGAUCGACCCCAUCAAUGCACUGCAGGCUGCUAUGGAGGGCUAUGAGGUGACCACUGUGGAUGAGGCCUGUCAGGAGGGCAACAUCUUUGUUACCACCACAGGCUGUGUUGGCAUCAUCCUUGGCCGGCACUUUGAGCAGAUGAAAGAUGACUCCAUUGUGUGUAACAUUAGACACUUCAACGUGGAGAUUGAUGUCAUGUGGCUCAAUGAGAAUGCUGUGGAGAAGGUGAACAUCAAACCCCAGGUGGACCGCUACCAGUUGAAAAAUGGGCGCCGCAUCAUCCUGCUGGCUGAGGGCCGUCUGGUCAAGCUGGGUGGUGCCAUGGGCCACCCCAGCUUCGUGAUGAGUAACUCCUUUACGAACCAGGUGAUGGCGCAGAUUGAACUGUGGACUCAUCCAGACAAGUACCCCGUUGGGGUUCACUUCCUGCCCAAGAAGCUCGAUGAGGCAGUGGCUGAAGCUCACCUGGGCAAGCUGAACCUGAAACUGACCAAGCUGACUGAGAAAUAGGCCCAGUAUCUGGACGUGUCCCGUGAUGGCCCCUUCAAGCCUGACCACUACCGCUACUCAGAGACAGGCCUGUCCUUCAAACUUCAGCUGCUGUCCUUGUUCAGGCCUCAUCUCCGCCCCCCUCCACCGAGCAAAUGGCACCAACUUUAUGAUUGGUUUGUCAGUGUCCCCUAUUGA